rnacentral:sRNA from 1 species
AAAAAACACUCACAAGCAAAUGCCACACGCAACUUGAUAGCAAUGAUAUAUAUAUAUAUAUAUAUUUUUUUUCCGACUGAAUGAUUCCAUUAUAUUAGGCGAAAGUGGAAUGCAUUUUUGAAAUACAACAACGAUAAGAGUCGAAACUCUGUCAGAAAUUAAGUCGGAGAAAGACAACAAUAUCUUCUGAAACCUAAGCCCAAAAGAGAGAAACAAACUGUAAGCAAAAAGUUACAAAAAAGUAAGCAUAAAAAUAACCUAAAAGCUAAAUCUGAAACUCAAAACAUCAUAACCUGCAAUCAAUCCCAUAGUAACGAUUAGCGUCGAGCUGAAACCAAGAAACAUGAGCCCCAAGAAGAACCAACUCAGCGGACAAACUCCAAAAGAAAGGAAAUCCCGAAAAAGAACGAAUAUAAAGGCUCAACAAGCAACAACCCAAUAGAACAGAUAACAAUGAUAUAUAACACGAUAUUCUAGAUUUCUAGAUUUUUUUUGCAUUAGUGCGCAACAUAAUAUUAAACCUAAUCAACAAAAAUAUGCCAAAUUCCUAAAAAUGAUAAGAAUGUCUCUUAAAUCUCGAAGUUAAGACCCUAAUUAACUUCAUUAACGCUUCUUAAUCUAUAAAUAUAUAGUUCUUCAAAAAUCUUUCAACGCAUUAAUUAUUCAAAAAGUAAACACAUGGAAGCCGUGUAGUUCACGCGCCGGUCAAAUCGAAACCGUAGAAAAAAGCAAAGAAAAGAAGACAAAAACGGACUUGACUUAUAGAG